rnacentral:rRNA from 1 species
CCUACGGGUGGCAGCAGUGAGGAAUAUUGGUCAAUGGGCGCGAGCCUGAACCAGCCAAGUCGCGUGAAGGAAGACUGCCCUACGGGUUGUAAACUUCGUUUAUAAAGGAAUAAAGUGAGGUACGUGUGCCUUUUUGCACGUACGUUAUGAAUAAGGAUCGGCUAACUCCGUGCCAGCAGCCGCGGUAAUACGGAGGAUCCGUGCGUUGUCCGGAUUUAUUGGGUUUAAAGGGAGCGUAGGUGGGUUGUUAAGUCAGUUGUGAAAGCUUGCGGCUCAACCGGAAAAUUGCAAUUGAUACUGGCAGCCUUGAGUGCAGUUGAGGUAGGCGGAAUUCGUGGUGUAGCGGUGAAAUGCUUAGAUAUCACGAAGAACUCCGAUGGCGAAGGCAGCUUACUAGACUGCAACUGACGUUGAUGCUCGAAAGUGUGGGUAGCAAACAGGAUUAGAUACCCCGGUAGUC